AUGGUAUCAAAACAUCCUCCAAGAGCAACUAAUAAUUGAGAUGUACAUGUCAUUUAUGACUCUACAAAUAGCAGCAGCUCUGGAUGGAGCUUCACUGGAACAACGGCGUCUCCCUUGGGCUCAGAAAGACAUUCAGUACUGGACACAUCAAUGCUAUUAAAUGCAGAAUUGUGAACAGGGAUAUUUGUUGGAGGGAAGACAGUAAAGUCCUAUUGGUUUAUUGGUCA